AGGGUUGGGCUGUUCGCCCAUUAAAGCGGUACGCGAGCUGGGUUCAGAACGUCGUGAGACAGUUCGGUCCCUAUCUGUCGUGGGCGCAGGAAAUUUGAGAGGAGCUGUCCUUAGUACGAGAGGACCGGGAUGGACGUACCGCUGGUGCAUCAGUUGUUCCGCCAGGAGCAUGGCUGAGUAGCUACGUACGGACGGGAUAAGCGCUGAAAGCAUCUAAGCGUGAAGCCCCCCUCAAGAUGAGAUUUCCCAGUAUGUAAGACCCCUUGAAGACGACGAGGUAGAUAGGUUGGAGGUGGAAGCACGGCAACGUGUGGAGCUGACCAAUACUAAUCGGUCGAGGGCUUAUCCAAA
rnacentral:rRNA from 1 species